GAUUCUCGGCAAUGGAUAUCUUGACUCUUGCAUCGAUGAAGAACGUAGCGAAAUGCGAUACUUAGUGUGAAUUGCAAAAUCCUAUGAAUCAUCGAGUCUCUAAACGUAAGUUGCAUCCUAGGCGAUCGGGCUGAGGGCACGCCUGCCUGGGCGUCA